rnacentral:lncRNA from 1 species
AUACUGUGGGUAAGGUGACACCAAUCUUGAAUAGUACUUAUAGUUUCUUAGGUCCUUUUCUAAUAAUGUGUUUGGAUGGAAAAUAUAGAAGGCGGUGAUGUUCAGUAGAACGAGAAGAAAAGGAAGGCAGACAUUCUACAAUAUGAUGUUUGACAAUCUCGUUUGGAUCCCUGAAAAGACAGUGGGAAACUCAUUAACCUAGCAUUGAACUCGCCAUGGCACACUCAUUUACUUCAUCAUAUAUGAUUGAUGCGUGGAAGGGGGCGAUAUAGAUUUGAACCCAUGAAACUGAAGACUGGCAACUUUAUGCAUCAUCAUUCUAGUGGUUGAGCCAGUUCACGUCUUUCUCUAAAUAUCCGAAUACAACAGCAUUUUAGCUAUGUACUGAAAGAUCUGAUAGUUUUCUAUCUCAACUAGUAAUAACAUUAUAUUGAAAGCUGUGAAAUAAUUAUUUCGAACAACAUCAACAAACUAUACCUUUUUCGAAUUAUAAUAAUAAUAAUAAUAAUAAAAUGGGUAGAAAAGGUGGAUACUCUUAGACACUCCAUUUAGCCCAUCAUUAUAACUGUUUGAAAAUCUAAUGCAAUCAGAAUCUUCUCAACCACUAGAGAGACCAUGUUAAUUUUUGUCGACCUAUUCCUCUUCUAACUAGUUUUAUUGGGAUCUUAUCACUCUUGCGAACACUUAAGCCGUGUUUCCCAUAAUUUAUCCUCAACCAUUACCACUCCACCUGUACAUGUAUAUCUCACUUCUUAUAUUAUCCAUUCUAGUACAACCCUACAUCCAUCUUAACAUUAUCACUCCUGCUACGUAUUUAUUGACAUCUUGUCCUUUAAAGGCUCAACAUAUAGUACUAUAAAAUGCAGCAUAUCUAAUAAUUGUUUUGUAGAACUUGCUUUUUGAUCUUAUAAUAAUGUUUCGAUCUAAUAUAAUCUUUUACAUCACUUUGCCAUUUCAUUGUUUUCCAGUCCUUGUCAAUGAAUCUAAAUACCUAUAGUUAAUCUACCUUUAAGACAACAUGAUCCUCUAUACUGACUUCUUGAUAAUCCCUAUUCCUACUACCAUGAAACAAUUAUUUCGAACUUAAAAAUAUCGUGAGAUUUAAUCAGUGUAUAUGAAGACACAUAAGAUAAUUGUUUAAUAUUAGAAUAUAGAUGCUCCAGAGAUUAAAUUUUGGAUUGUUGCCAGUCUCACUACCUGGAGUUAAGUCCACUCUCUCCAACACUUUGAAUUGUGACUAACAGUCUACCGAUCAGAGAUGUAAAUUCCUUUUAAUUGUAUGAUUUGUAUAUGUUUUCAUGGUCUACCUAUCAGAGAUGUAAAUUCCUUGUAAUUGUA